rnacentral:rRNA from 1 species
UGGAUGACUCUCGGCAACGGAUAUCUCGGCUCUCGCAUCGAUGAAGAACGUAGCGAAAUGCGAUACCUGGUGUGAAUUGCAGAAUCCCGUGAACCAUCGAGUCUUUGAACGCAAGUUGCGCCCGAGGCCAUCCGGCUAAGGGCACGCCUGCCUGGGCG